rnacentral:tRNA from 1 species
GAAAUAUAAAUAGUAAGCUUCUAACUUAUAAAAUAGCGUUUUAACGUUAAUAUUUCU